UGCUUAUUUUCUAAAUAUAGAUUCAAUAUUAAAUAUAUGUAAAAAGUAUUCAAUAUAAAGGUGUGUGUAACAUUAGUUGCCACGAUGAUGGAUUCAUUUAUGAAUUGGCAUAUGUUUUCUAAUGAAGACAACCUUGUUGGAAAUGACCGUUUGUAUAACAAGUUUUUAGACAUAUACGUGUUACAUCCACGAACACACAUUAAGGAUGGCAGAGCUCUUUACACAGAUUAUGAAGUUCAUGUAAAGACCAACCAUCCUGAAUUUGCAAUUAAAGAGUCACAAGUCAGACGUCGAUAUUCAGAAUUUGUUUGGUUGAAAAAUCGUCUGGGUAUAAAUGAUGUGAUGAUGUCGACUGCACCUUCUUUACCAGGAAAGAGAUACUUUGGUAGAUUCAAGGAUCCAUUUUUGUUACAGAGACAGUUUGGUCUUCAAAGUUUCAUGAACAAUGUUGUGGAAGUAAACCCGUUUUUGUCAGAUCCUGCACUUCAUUUAUUUCUCCAAACUGAUUUACCAGUUGAACAAAUGGAACGACGUCUCGAACACUGCCCAUUGUUGAGCAAUAUUAGAGACAAAAUUAUAAUGUUGCAGAAGGAUAGAGAACAAAAAGCAAAGGAAAAGGAAACUCAAGCAACCCAGGAAUAUGAACAUAGUUACACGAAAACGUUAAAUUUAAAGAAAACCCUUAGCUCUGAUUGCAUUUAUUCCAUGAAGAAGAAGAAUAUGUCUUCCUGCGAAGAGCAUGGUGGUAAGGGCUGGUCUCAAUACUUAGGGGAUGAUUUUCGUCCAUCCAUAGUUAAAACUGACCGAGACGUUACAGAUUUUUCUUCAGGAGCCUCAAACUUUAACACAAGAAUGACUGCUACUGCUCAUGUUCUCCCAGGUGGCCAACUCUGCCUACCUGACGACAAUGUUGAUAUGCCCUUGCCCAGCCCUACAUUAGUCCAUCGACGCUCUGUUAGUUGGCAUGGAAACGAGAGUGAUGUGAUAGAUUUAUUAUUAGACAGUUACGAUAUUCUUCCAAAGUUACCAGCAGAAGCAUAUGUUGAUGAUUCCAUGAGUUUCUCCCAAACCUCUAAGGUAGAGAGCAGUGUGAGUGGGACUUACCAGGAUGACAGCAGUGAUGACGGAAUAGAAAUAGACAUUUCAAAACGAUUGUCAGAGUACACAAUUGUACCACUCCCACCCACAAAUAAUUUUUCACGCGAAACAACAAGCGGUUUCCAUCACAGUUUUAGCGGGAGUUACGAUGAAAGGUGAAAUGAUUCAAAUUUAUAUACAGUAGUUUUAUAAUAGUUUAUAUUUUAAAGUUUUAUAUAUAUGAGAAAUUUAUAAAAAAAAAAUGAUUCAUAGAAAUUGUAUAGUCAGAUCACUGUGUUUAAAUUUGUCCAUGUUCUCUGUAAAAUUUCAUUAUUGUUGAAAAUAUUCAGAAAAUCUUUCUUAAUCCGAUGAAAGCAACAUCUUUUAGCUUAGUUAGCAGAUUGAUGUCUUUUUUCUACUACGUAACUCAAGAAUUACUUGGCAUUGCAUUAAGUGAAUAUAGUCGGCAUGUGUUUAUGUUUUAUGUUUGUAUGUUUUUGUUAAUUUAUUAAAAUAGGUAGAGACAUUCUUAAUAGCUAGUUAGACGGACAGAAAGACCAUUUACUUUAGCACUAUUUUUCAUCCAUUAAAUUUCAUGUCACUUACAUCCUUUUUAAAUGUUGGAAUUUGUAAACAAUCAAAGUAUUCUCAGCUUAUCUUAAAACCUUAAGAAAACAUUACUAACCUAAUUUUGCAAACUAAUUUAUUUUGUAACAUUUUAUAUGAUACCAUCUUAUUUUUUAUAUGCAUUAAUGUUUUUGUAUGUAACAAGUUUGUGAAAUAUCUUUUGAUGUUUUCGUUAUGGCCAGUUAACUGCAUUAUUUUCACGUUAGAUUCUAACUUUCCCUUUUUUAUUCAAGUUGUGUUAACUGAUAAACUUUAAAAUGCUUUUAAUUUAUUCCAACUCUGUUUGAAAUUUGAAGUUUUUUUAUUUUAAACCACGGUAAAGGUUUAUUACAGGUUACCAAGAAAAGACGCUUUGUUAUUUCUUAUGUCAAGAAACCCCCUUUUUCGAAUGUACUUCUACUCUCCCUUAUCCAAUUCAGCAAAAAUCAAACACCAAACGCAUGUAAAUAAAAACUUCUUUGGAGCAGUUUUAGUCUUCUAAUAUUUCCACUAGUGUUAACUGCAUUUUUUCGUUUAAAGUUUUUGCUUUAUAAGUUAUAUAAGUUUUUUUAGAAAAAAUGACUAGGUUUUUAGUCAAGUCAAUAUUGUCUUGUUGUUUGGCUAUCACAAACGUCUUGAUUCUGUCAUUCUACUAAUUGCAUUGAAACCGGGUUAUGCAGAUUGUAUAUUUUAACCAUUAAACGCAGUCUUAAAGUCCUGUGCCAGCUUGGUAUCAGAAGUUUUUCUUGUUGGGUAUUGCUGUAUCUUUAGGUUUACCUUAUUAUGAAGUUUCAUUUUUCUAUCAGUUUUCCUUUUUCACAGAAAGUUGUAUAUAUUUUAAAAACAAUGUCUUCCUUAAACCAUGGUUUGGUUGAUGGAAAAGAAUACCCAAUGAAGAUUGGUUCAAGUUUCCAAGCUGCCAGGAGACCUACAGAAUCAUAUCACACAAUAAGAUAUGAUUUCAAGCCAGCAUCUAUUGACACAAAUCGUCCAGUGGAAUUUCGAAUUGGUUCAAAUAAUGAAUGUACUGUUGAUAUUCCAAACAAGGAUUCUGGUACAAUGACAUAUAAAGGUGGAAAGAAACCGUGCACAAAAGAAUGCAUUCUAAUUAUAGAUAAAGACACUGGGG